rnacentral:rRNA from 1 species
UAUUCUUGUAGUACCGUCAGCUCCGGACACGUCCGGAGAGUUCUUUCUCAAAAAAGCAGUUUACAACCCGUAGGGCUGUCAUCCUGCACGCGGCAUGGCUGGGUCAGACUUUCGUCCAUUGCCCAAUAUUCCU